rnacentral:misc_RNA from 1 species
ACCUCUCAACCCCGCCAAAGGCUUUAUUGACUUUAGUUGUUUGGGCUUGGAUCAUGGUUGUUGUUGGCCUUUGGGUCUAACUCGACUGAAAUACAACAAGUUGAAUAGAAUUUAUUGCGGCUUGACCUGAUGUUGUAAACUACUCAUCGGGGACGCUUUAAAAAGUCUAAGGAACUUUAACAGAAACCCUUUUGCUCUAGUCGAGGAUCACUCUUUCGGGAGCCCUUACACUUUAGUACAU